UUCGUAAAAUAAAGACAUUUGCUUGGACUUGCCUGCUUGCCUGCCUGCCUGCUCCUUAGACUCUGCAUCAGCUCUUUUCCUGCGUCAACAACGCCUACCCAUUCCUGACAGGAAGAGGAGAAAGAGGAAGAAGAGACCAGUGUGAAGCGAAGGGUUCCCCAAUUGCGAAAGAAAUGGCCUGCACCCACACCCAGGAACAGUCAGAAUACAAAAUUGCAGACUUUAUCUGUCAAAUUGAAUCGUCCCACUUUAAAGACACUGGCAAUGAUUCAGGUUUAUGUGAGCCCAGCCACUGCUGACAUCUUGGCAAAACAGUCACAGAAUGUUUGUGCAGUGACUAAAUCAGAGACAGAAAAGACUUCUGAUGAAACCAAGUUUUGUGACACUACAGUGAAAAUUAAAAGACAGGAGCCAUCAGAAGAGGAGGAGAGAAAGACCUGUGAGGAGGAAAGGAUGAAGCUGCAGGAGGAGCAUCAGAGGAAAGAAGAACGACAUGUAAAAGAAGUGACAAAGGAGAGAGGGCAACAUGGAGACAAAGAGGUCAAAGCUGAGAGAGAACCUGCAAGGAGAAAAGGACCAG